rnacentral:rRNA from 1 species
ACUUCGGUUCUGGCGGCGAGUGGCGAACGGGUGAGUAAUAUAUCGGAACGUGCCCAGUAGCGGGGGAUAACUACGCGAAAGCGUGGCUAAUACCGCAUACGCCCUACGGGGGAAAGGGGGGGAUCGCAAGACCUCUCACUAUUGGAGCGGCCGAUAUCAGAUUAGCUAGUUGGUGAGGUAAAGGCUCACCAAGGCCGCGAUCUGUAGCUGGUUUGAGAGGACGACCAGCCACACUGGGACUGAGACACGGCCCAGACUCCUACGGGAGGCAGCAGUGGGGAAUUUUGGACAAUGGGGGAAACCCUGAUCCAGCCAUCCCGCGUGUGCGAUGAAGGCCUUCGGGUUGUAAAGCACUUUUGGCAGGGAAGAAACGGCACCGGCUAAUACCGGGUGUCACUGACGGUACCUGCAGAAUAAGCACCGGCUAACUACGUGCCAGCAGCCGCGGUAAUACGUAGGGUGCAAGCGUUAAUCGGAAUUACUGGGCGUAAAGCGUGCGCAGGCGGUUCGGAAAGAAAGAUGUGAAAUCCCAGAGCUUAACUUUGGAACUGCAUUUUUAACUGCCGAGCUAGAGUAUGUCAGAGGGGGGUAGAAUUCCACGUGUAGCAGUGAAAUGCGUAGAGAUGUGGAGGAAUACCGAUGGCGAAGGCAGCCCCCUGGGAUAAUACUGACGCUCAUGCACGAAAGCGUGGGGAGCAAACAGGAUUAGAUACCCUGGUAGUCCACGCCCUAAACGAUGUCAACUAGCUGUUGGGGCCUUCGGGCCUUAGUAGCGCAGCUAACGCGUGAAGUUGACCGCCUGGGGAGUACGGUCGCAAGAUUAAAACUCAAAGGAAUUGACGGGGACCCGCACAAGCGGUGGAUGAUGUGGAUUAAUUCGAUGCAACGCGAAAAACCUUACCUACCCUUGACAUGUCUGGAAUUCCUAAGAGAUUGGGAAGUGCUCGCAAGAGAACCGGAACACAGGUGCUGC